rnacentral:tRNA from 1 species
AGGUCAGUAGUUCAACUGGUAGAGCACCGGUCUCCAAAACCGGCUGUUGGGGGUUCGAGUCCCUCCUGACCUGCCA